rnacentral:rRNA from 1 species
AUUGAACGCUGGCGGCAUGCCUUACACAUGCAAGUCGAACGGUAACAGGUCUUCGGAUGCUGACGAGUGGCGAACGGGUGAGUAAUACAUCGGAACGUGCCCGAGAGUGGGGGAUAACGAAGCGAAAGCUUUGCUAAUACCGCAUACGAUCUCAGGAUGAAAGCAGGGGACCGCAAGGCCUUGCGCUCACGGAGCGGCCGAUGGCAGAUUAGGUAGUUGGUGAGAUAAAAGCUUACCAAGCCGACGAUCUGUAGCUGGUCUGAGAGGACGACCAGCCACACUGGGACUGAGACACGGCCCAGACUCCUACGGGAGGCAGCAGUGGGGAAUUUUGGACAAUGGGCGCAAGCCUGAUCCAGCCAUGCCGCGUGCAUGAUGAAGGCCUUCGGGUUGUAAACUGCUUUUGUACGGAACGAAAAGACUCCUUCUAAUAAAGGGGGUCCAUGACGGUACCGUAAGAAUAAGCACCGGCUAACUACGUGCCAGCCGCCGCAGUAAUAC